rnacentral:rRNA from 1 species
UACGGAGGGUGCAAGCGUUAUCCGGAUUCACUGGGUUUAAAGGGUGCGUAGGUGGGCAGUUAAGUCAGUGGUGAAAUCUCCGGGCUUAACCCGGAAACUGCCAUUGAUACUAUCUGUCUUGAAUGUCGUGGAGGUAAGCGGAAUAUGUCAUGUAGCGGUGAAAUGCUUAGAUAUGACAUAGAACACCAAUUGCGAAGGCAGCUUACUAUACGGAUAUUGACACUGAGGCACGAAAGCGUGGGGAUCAAACAGG